UACAGAGGUGGCAAGCGUUGUUCGGAAUUACUGGGCGUAAAGGGCGCGUAGGCGGUCUUGUAAGUCUUGUGUGAAAUCCCUCGGCUUAACUGAGGAACUGCACGAGAUACUGCAAGACUUGAGAUCGGGAGAGGGAAGCGGAAUUCCGGGUGUAGCGGUGAAAUGCGUAGAUAUCCGGAGGAACACCGGUGGCGAAGGCGGCUUCCUGGACCAAUACUGACACUGAGGAGCGAAAGCCAGGGGAGCAAAGCGGG
rnacentral:rRNA from 1 species